UACAGAGGGGGCAAGCGUUGUUCGGAAUUAAUGGGCGUAAAGGGCGCGUAGGCGGCCUGUUAAGUCGAACGUGAAAUCCCCGGGCUCAACCCGGGAACUGCGUCCGAAACUGGCAGGCUCGAAUUCGGGAGAGGGAUGCGGAAUUCCAGGUGUAGCGGUGAAAUGCGCAGAUAUCAGGAGGAACACCGGUGGCGAAGGCGGUUCUCUGGGCAUUACCUGACGCUGAGGAGCGAAAGUGUGGGGAGCGAACAGG
rnacentral:rRNA from 1 species